UACGAAGGGGGCUAGCGUUGCUCGGAAUCACUGGGCGUAAAGGGUGCGUAGGCGGGUUUUUAAGUCAGGGGUGAAAUCCUGGAGCUCAACUCCAGAACUGCCUUUGAUACUGAAGAUCUUGAGUCCGGGAGAGGUGAGUGGAACUGCGAGUGUAGAGGUGAAAUUCGUAGAUAUUGGGAAGAACACCAGUGGCGAAGGCGGCUCACUGGUCCGCAACUGACGCUGAGGCGCGAAAGCGUGGGGAGCAAACAGG
rnacentral:rRNA from 1 species